CGGGCCGAGCGGCGGCCGGGGCCGGCAGCACGCGAGGGGAGCGGGCACCUGCCCAAGGCGAGGCGGGCGCGGCCGGGAGGGGGCGGGGGGGACACACACGGGACGCCCUGGCUCACCGCUCCAUAAUGCAGCGCGUAUUACUCAGUGCAUUCAGGGAUUAGCCCGACUUGAAGUGUGGGGCGAUUCUGCGUCUCCCUGCUUCUCGCCUCUUGGAAAGGGGAGAGGGGAGAAGCGGCCCCCCCGGUCGCCCCCCACCCCCCCGGUCCGUCCCAGUGCGCAGCAACUUCGAGCUCCCAAGCGAGCGAGCUCUUAGCGUGUCAGGCCGCACAAUGCGGGGCUAAUUCCUGCUGCAAAAGGCAAGUGGUGAAGAAUCAAUCGCAGGCUUUAUACAAUCAAAAGGGAUGAUGGGCUUAGGGUUGCGAAUAUUUUUUCUUUAAAGUUCCCUGCCCCAGUCUGAAUUUCUCCUGCUCCUUACCCCCGUCCUAUUAAUAAUCCCAUGCAGGCGAUUGCAGACCGAGGUAAAGCUAUCAUUUGUAUGCGCCUGAAGAUUAAUUUCCCCCAUGUACCAACUCAACGGCAUAGUUAUCUCUUUAACAGGGAAAACAGUUUGGCUCCAUUGUCGGGUUGCCAAGACCGCCUUUUGAGAAAGGGAGCCCGGCUAGCCUCUGAUCGAACUCAAAGCUGUUGGAUCAAUAAAUCCUUUCAGACUAGGACAAUUAGCCUCUGAAAUAACUAAUUCUUCAAGGGAGAAAAGGGACAGACUCUUUCUCUUUGCUGAGAUGCUGAGCGGCUCCUGCAUCCACAGGGUACCUUCAGCACUCAGCCUCAAACUGCAGCGUGGGGUACUGCCUCAGGAUUUGAAAUUGUGUUGUGGGAUCAUCUGAAUGGGAUAAACUGACUACUUCAGUGCCCACGGGGCUCCAGUGAAAGCACAGCCACAGAUCCUGAACACACCACUUGCCACUGCUGAAACAAUACGGAGUGGACAGACACAUCUGGAGCAGACUGAGGCAACAUCAACAAAAAUGGCAGGUAGAAAGCAGCAUAUGAUUUUCCAGAAAUGAUUUUCACACAAAUAUAUUUACUUUUCCUUUUGGGGAGAGCAGGGGAAAAGAGAGCUGCACAUCCUUUACAAACAGUGCUGGUAUUAUUCACACUGCCAACCAAACCACUUAAGCUACAGAACCUUUGCAGUACCACAAGUGUAAUACAAAAAAACAACCAAAAACCACUUACUUCCUUUUUUUCCCCCCUGAGUAUUGACAUUCUUGUGCAGUAUUAGGAGAGCUAAUUUAGCUUCCAGUUCUAAGAAUUUUUGAAUCUAUAGCCAGUAAUUAUUUGCAUUCAGGGGUACAAAAGAGGAAAACAAAGCCCACAAAUUCUAGCACAUUCAUGUGGGA
rnacentral:lncRNA from 13 species